GGAGAGGUGGCAGAGUGGUUGAAUGCAGCAUCCUGCUAAGAUGUUAGGGGCUUAACACCCCUCGUGGGUUCGAAUCCCACCCUCUCCG
rnacentral:tRNA from 1 species